CAGAAAACAAUAACACAAAACAAGUUAAUAAGUUUCCAAGCACUUUACCUAAUGUGUUAAAGCAGAUCAUGAAACAAUAUACGGAGCACAUAUAUAUUUAUACAUAUAUGGAGCAUUUGUCUGAAAGACAAAACCAAAAUUUUCUUUUAGCCAAACCCAUUUCAAACAAGGUUAUCUUAUUAUAUUAGUGUUACCUUAUAGAUAAUACCUUAUAAUGCCUUGAGAUGUCUCUUAACCUUUUAAGACCUGAAGGUUUUUUAGAGUUUUUUUUUUUCUGAGCGACACACAAAAAAGUAAAGACUCAUUACUCCGUAACUGUAGCAAGGAGAGUCAAAAGGUAGGUAUCAUUUGGUAGAACACUUUUUAGAAAAUAUAAAUUACAUUACAUUUGGACAUUUUCAGGCUGAAAAACUGCUGACAAAAGACAAACACUGCAUGAAAAGAGCUGUAUCCGGACAAAUAUGGGAUGGGAAAUCCUUGCUAAACUUGAAGUUUCCCAAAUGUAUGAGGCAGACUGCUUGGAAAGAAAACUAACUACUCUGGCUUUGACCGUUCAUCCUGGAUCCCACACACUUCAGAGGAACACAAGCGGUAUGCUAAAAUGACUGAGAAAGCAACCACAAGGGCAGCCAAAAAAAGACUGGAAGAACAUGAGAGUCCAAGGUUGUUCAAACAGAUGCAGAGAGAGAGCUUUGGCAGACUGCAACGGUGGAGCUGAUGUCUGAUGAGGAGGAUGCCAUUGUUGACGGAAGGCCAGUGUGGAUUGUGAGGUCUCCAUCUCACAGGAACCCACAACUGUCAGAACUUUGUCAGCAGCUUCAGCGCAGAUUGUAAGCAGACAUGUGCUACACUCUUUUACAUCAUCAGCGUGUUAAGGCUAACGGAAAUGGACAUGAUGGACCUUCAUUUCUUGAACUUUAAACUGCACUGGCUUUGCAGUUUUAAUAACUGCACCACAAAUUGCACAUUUGUUCACUUAUUCUCUUCUGUUUUGUCUUAUUCUUACUCUGUAUACUUAUUAGGUUAGAUUUAUUUAGUUUCAUAUUCUGCAACUUAUUUUUUUUAUAUUCUUUGUG